ACCCGGGUCUCCGGCAUGGGAGGCAGACACACUAACAAGGAGGCUAAAUGGCUACAGCCACUAGCGUCUGACGCCAGUGCGUCUCUUGAGAUCGGGGAGUGAGGUUUACCUGCACAGCACUACUCGCUGGCCUCCGUUACAUACAAUUAUGAAAAUGAACAGCAUCCAUCAACAGUAUCAUGUUCUGUCUUAAAUUAAUUUCACACAGAGAGACCCAAGCCUGUGUUGCGUGUUGAUCCUGAUGAACAUGUGUUCAGAGGACAGACGGUCAUUCUCACAUGUGACAUACAGGAGAAAAACGUCAGCAGCUGGAGCUACAUCUGGAGUAAAGAUGAUUCAGAGAUUGAUGUCAGUCAGUCACAGGAAUACAGAAUCAGUUCUGUUAAUGAAUCUUACACGGGUCGUUACAGCUGUACUGGAAGAGAAACAGGAGGAUCACGAUCCUCACACACCAGUGACACAGUUACACUCACACUAUCAGGCGAGAGACUUUAUAUCUGUUUAUCACACAUGAGUAAAAAUAUCUAUAAACCUAUUUUAAGAAAUAAAUAGAUAAUCAAAUUGCUGUUGAUUAGCUACCCUCAACUGACUUGAUUAAUUUGACCUGCUGACCUUUUAUUUCAAAACAUCAGGAUCUCUAGUACCAACAUCUUCAGAUGUUUUGAUGAUUGGAGUGAUUACAGGACUCAGUGGUGCAUUUCUGCUAAUUUUGUUACUGGUCCUGCAGUUCUGCUGCAGACGCAACAAAGGUGAAGGAUCUCCGUCUCCAUCUACAGACCAUCAGCUGCAGAACAUCAGUCAGACAUCAGAGCAUCAGAGGAACAAUGGACAAACACCAGCGUGCUCCAACGCUGUAACUGGGCCUCCGUCUGUGACCUAUAUGAAUGUUGGCCUGAAAUCAUUGGAGGAAAUGAGGAAGAAAAAUAAAGAAAAUAAAGGUAUGACAACAGUUUUGCAGUUGUUUGUUGUAAUGUAACACAUUAAGAUAAAUGCAUGUAUAAUUAAAUAAAUAUAUGUUAAACUCUUGUCAUGUGUUAGGAGAGCAGAGUUCUGACACCAUUUACUCCAAAUUGAUGUUUUAAGGUGAAAUAAUGCAAAAUAUCACAAUAUAAUGCAAUUAGAAAUAUAUAUACAUACAUACAAAAUGUUUUAUACUUGUGAAUUAAUUAGCAUAAUUUCAGGUGCUGUUUCUGGAUCAAUAUGACGAAUGCUCGGACAACUUUCAUCAACACUGGAAUACAAAAAAAGAAUAUGUUGAAGAAUUUGAUAUAUUACCCUGAUUAUUAAUUGUAUAGUUUAAAUUAUUAAACAUAAUUUGCAAAUCUUCAUAAUCUGUGACAUUUUAAAUCAUGAUUCUGACCACUGAUACAGUACUGCAUUUACUGUUACAUUUAUUAUAUGUAUUACAGAAUUGUGAGUAUUAAAAGAAAAUAGCAAUAGGCCUAGCUAAGACUUAUGCAUGCUACAAUCUUUUGUUGGGGUCAAGCAGGAGAAACUAUUGUUAAACCUUUAAAAUAUCUUUAUAAGCAGACUUUUAAAAGCCUUCCCAAUAUCACCACUGUAGGGUUUGGGAGAAAUAAAGUUUUUUGAGCUUUGAUAAUUUUAGACUUUUCUCAAGUUUGUGUAAGGUAUAUAACAUUUUAAAUGGUUCGGCAUACUUCAUGAUUUUGUGCAUUUUCGCUCUACAGUCUCUGUAAGAUCUACUAGAUCAUCUACUAGAGAUUGUGUUUUUCCUUUCUCACUCUGCCUUUGUAUUAUCAUCUAUCAUCUUUGACUUGAGUUUUCUGUCAUAUAUCUACAGAAGAUCUUACUGUGAAUUAACAGAGGUUUAGACGCUGAUGUUUUGUGCAUUUCAGUUGAAAUCACCACUAUAGUGAUUAGUGUUUGCGUUGCUUUCUCCCAUCAUGCACUGCAGCAGGAAGUCAUCGUUUGACAUUCAGCACUGUUGAGAUUCAUAUGAUUUUUGAUGUCGGUGCACUUUGUCUAGAGUAUCUGAUAGUCACUCCACUGAUAGUCAAGCUUUAGUAUCACAGGGUUUUUGUCAUGAUUCUGCCCUCGUGUCUUUGAUUUUUCCUAGUCUUGAGGCAGGAUCAUGACAGACCCGUGUUUUGUGUACAAGCACAUGGCCUUGCCUUUGGGCCAUGUGCUUGUGUUGUCUCGUUCCCUUGCCCCGCCCCCCUUGUUAACCUAGUCGUGUCGUGAUUGCUAUCUGUGCCACCUGUCGUGUCUUAAUUGUUCCCCUAUUUAGCUUUCCUAGUGUGCUCUGUCUUGCGUCGGUUCAUUGUGUUCCUCAUAUGUGUUCCUACCUGUCAGCCUUGUGAAAGAGUAUUCCCCUUUGAGAUAUUGUAUCCUGUAUAACCGUGAGUGUUAUUUGUAGUUAGUGUUCUCCUGUUUUGAGUCUUUGUUUAUCUUGUUUAAUCAGUCCUAUUUAGUAUUUGUUGUAUCUGCCCUAGUCCUGUUUUCCCCCUCGUGGGUUUUUGUUUUCCCUUUUUGUAUUAAUAAAUCCUGUGUGUAACCCGAUUCCUGUCUGCACCUGAGUUCCUC
ensembl:lncRNA